UGAAUACGAGACGCUAAGGCGUCGAAGUAGUGUAUGUCAUACUUCCAAGAAAAGCUUGCACUGUCAUAGAUAAAAAACGCCUGUACCAUAACCGACACAGGUGGGUAGGUAGAGUAUACUAAGGGGCGCGAGAUAACUCUCUCUAAGGAACUCGGCAAAAUAACUCCGUAACUUCGGGAGAAGGAGUGCCUUAUUCGUAAGGUUGCAAUAACAAGAUCCAAGCAACUGUUUAUCAAAAACACAGGUCUCCGCUAAGUCGUAAGACGAUGUAUGGGGGCUGACGCCUGCCCAGUGCCAGAAGGUUAAAGAAGUUGGUUAGCAAUUGCGAAGCUGAUAACUGAAGCCCUGGUGAACGGCGGCCGUAACGAUAACGGUCCUAAGGUAGCGAAAUUCCUUGUCGGGUAAGUUCCGACCCGCACGAAAGGCGUAAUGAUUUGGAUACUGUCUCGGAGAGGGGCUCGGUGAAAUAGACUUGUCUGUGAAGAUGCGGACUACCUGCACCAGGACAGAGAGACCCUAUGAAGCUUUACUGUAACUUGAAAUUGAAAUUGGACUUUAUUCGCGCAGUAUAGGUGGGAGGCGUUGAUUAUAAUCUUGUGGGAUUAUUGGAGCCAUCAGUGAGAUACCACUCUUGUAAUGUUAAAUUUCUAACUUUGAAUCAUUAUCUGGUCAAAGAACAGUUUCAGGCGGGCAGUUUGACUGGGGCGGUCGCCUCCUAAACGGUAACGGAGGCGUACAAAGGUUUCCUCUGAACGGUUAGAAAUCGUAUCUAGAGUGUAAAGGCAUAAGGAAGCUUGACUGUGAGACCUACAAGUCGAGCAGGGACGAAAGUCGGUCUUAGUGAUCUGACGGUACUGAGUGGAAAGGCCGUCACUCAACGGAUAAAAGUUACUCUAGGGAUAACAGGCUGAUCUCCCCCAAGAGUUCACAUCGACGGGGAGGUUUGGCACCUCGAUGUCGGCUCAUCGCAUCCUGGGGCGGUAGUACGUCCCAAGGGUUGGGCUGUUCGCCCAUGAAAGCGGUACGCGAGCUGGGUUCAGAGCGUCGUGAGACAGUUCGGUCCAUAUCCGGUGUAGGCGUUAGAAUAUUGAGAGGAGCCUUCUUUAGUACGAGAGGACCGAGAAGGACAUACCUCUGGUGUACCAGUUAUCGUGCCAACGGUAAACGCUGGGUAGCUAUGUAUGGAGUGGAUAACCGCUGAAAGCAUCUAAGUGGGAAGCCCACCUCAAGAUAAGUAUUCUCAUC
rnacentral:rRNA from 1 species